rnacentral:rRNA from 1 species
AUUGAACGCUGGCGGCAGGCCUAACACAUGCAAGUCGAGCGGAUGAAGGGAGCUUGCUCCUGGAUUCAGCGGCGGACGGGUGAGUAAUGCCUAGGAAUCUGCCUGGCAGGGGGGGAUAACGUCCGGAAACGGGCGCUAAUACUGCAUACGUCCUGCGGGUGCAAGUGGGGGAUCUUCGGAACUCACGCUAUCAGAUGAGCCUAGGUCGGAGUUGCUAGCUGGUGGGGUAAAGGCCUACCAAGGCGACGAUCCGCAACUGGUCUGAGAGGAUGAUCAGUCACACGGGAACUGAGACACGGUCCAGACUCCUACGGGAGGGAGCAGUGGGGAAUAUUGGACAAUGGGCGAAAGCCUGAUCCAGCCAUGCCGCGUGUGUGAAGAAGGUGUUCGGAUUGUAAAGCACGUUUAGUUGGGAGGAAGGGCAGUAAGUUAAUACCUUGCUGUUUUGACGGUACCAACAGAAUAAGCACCGGCUAACUUCGUG